rnacentral:lncRNA from 10 species
GGGCUCCACCCAGUUAGAGCUUCCAGGCUGCUUUGUUUACCUAAUCAAGCCUGGGCAAUGGCGGGCGCCCCUCCCCCAGCCUCGCUGCUGCCUUGCAGUUUGAUCUCAGACUGCUGUGCUAGCAAUCAGCGAGAUUCCGUGGGCGUAGGACCCUCCGAGCCAGGUGCAGGAUAAAAUCUCGUGGUGCGCCGUUUUUUAAGCCGGUUGGAAAAGCGCAGUAUUUGGGUGGGAGUGCCCGAUUUUCCAGACAACUUUGCACCAUGCGGACAGGUCAAAUGAGACCAGAAGUAUUAUGAACCAAUGCUAAUCAGGACUGUUUCCUGCACUCUGAGACCAAAGGGGCCAUUCUCACAAAGAAAGAGCUCCUGCCAUGUUACAUGCCUGCUCUCCAUCUGCCUUCCAACAUGAUUGGAAGCUUUCCGAUGCCCUCACCAGAAGCAAAUGCUGGUGCCGUGCUUUCUGUACUGCCUGCAGAACUGCUUUCGGCAUUUGGCAUCCACAGGAAACUCCAGCUUGACUUAAGGAGUGAGAGAAAGCAGAGGGCAUCACCUGGAAUCCUGCCACUGAUGAACACUCUUUGCUGUUUACUUGCCAAUAAUUGAGAAGUAGAUCCUGAGCCAAGUGCAAAGAGUUUCUUUGGAACAAGAAAACAUGACAAGGAAGUGGAGAAAUGAGAGCGGCAAGGUGGACAAAGGGGAUUUUGGAGACCAAAAAAGUCCUCAGGCAAACAGAUGCAGGUGCUAGCAGUUGGAAGUCAGGCCCAAGAGCUCUGAUGCGUGUGAUAAUAUGGGAAUUAAUAAGCCUGCUAUAUUUGAAAACCUCCCUGAUAUGCCAGGGUCAAUCUGGAUCCUCCGUCAAGCAGACACCAAGAUAGGAGUUGACACUGAAGAAAGAGCAUGUAAAGGAUAAAGGUAGGUGGGGGGGCAGGAAGAGUUUUCAGACUGUGAUGCAGGGUUGACAUCUCGGAAGGAGAGGGAAGGAACAGUGGGUAGGAAGAAUGGUGCACUACUGAGAAAGUCUUUGUCAAGCUAAUGAGGAAUCCUGGCACAGAGAUUACCUAUUAGGCGAGCCCCACACAGGAUAGAAAGGGCUGAACUUUACUAUUGGCAUCACGUUUGGUCAUCGGCUGACAUGGACAGUGUGGCAGAUUUGAAGAUUUGGCAGCUGAAGACUGUCAUCAGCAACACUUUUCCCACCAGGUUCUCUUGACAUGAGAUCCAAACAGUGCACCUCUAUUGCUACUAAAUGUCAGUUCUUGAAUAUUCCAGAGUUCCUUUUCUUUGAGGGCAAGGGUUGGAUUGUAUUUUACCACCUCUUUAAAAUUAGGAUGGCCAUAUGACUUAUUUUGGUCAUUAAGUUGUAAGUGGAAGUUUGAAAAAACAGUAUAUGCUUUGCCGGAUUAUCUUUUUCUCUUCAAAGAAAAUACCUUUUGAGCAGAACUUCCAUCAAUCUGGGCCCCAAUAAUGAGCAGGCUCUUACCAACUCAGGUGGGACAUGUAGACUGAGCAAGAAAUAGCAUUAUUGUAAUAAGCCAUUGAGAUAUUAUGUUUUUUAUUGAGGCAUAACCUAGAUUACUCUGACUGAAACCAUAGCUUUGGAGAUUGUGCUGGAGUAUUUUAGUUUCUACAUACACUGAGAAAUAGGCAGUGACCAUUGGGGAACAGGAGGCAGUGAACACUGGGGAAGAGGAGGCAGUGAACAUACCACUGGAAUCCAGCUUGGUUGGAUAUAAGAGCACAACAAUUUGAAAGCGUUAGUCAAAGAAAUGAACUGCUUGAUUUUCCUUCUGAGCUUCUAAAGUCAUUUAUAUUUAGAAGGAAAAGCUCACCAGUCAUAGGUUGUAACAAAUUAUUAAUACAUAAAUGUGUUCUGAGCUAACAGGACCAUAAACUGUCAUAGUUGGUCAACAAUAUUUAUUGUGGAUAAACAACUUGUAUUAGAUAUGUUAGAACAUAAAAAAGAGAACAAUGAUUAUUAUCAUCCCUUUUAUUGUAUGCCACAUAUUAUGAGAUUCAAAGGCUUUCAUAAAUAUUUUCUUCUACUCAGUGGAGUAAGUAGGGAAAGUAUUAUUAUCCCAGUUUUACAGUUAAGGAAAUGGAAACCCACAAACUUUAAAUGACAAAGGGGAUAAGUGGUUGAAACAAAACUAGAACUCAAUACAUCUGAGUAGAUGCCUGUAAAUUAAAAUAUUGCCUUCUUGCGAAGGCUAAAAUUCUUGUUGCCAGAAAAAGUUUAAGAAUAUUUUCAGUGCCUACAGUCAAAUACAUAUGCAUCAAUAAGGCAUUUGCAGCUAUUUUGUGUCAUGGUAUUGGAUGAAUGCUAUAAUUAGAAAACAGACGUGAAGCCGACCUAAAACCAUCAAACUAAUAUAGAGAGCCCUGAAGCUUUUUCCAGUUCCAGUCAGUCUGAAAAGACAACAUCAAAUGCUAAUGAGAGUCAGUCUUAAAUAAAAUAAGAAUAAAAAUUGCUUUAUCUGUGGCUUAUAACUCUUAAGUGAAUUUAAUGUGUAUUUUCUCUCUUGUGUGUUACAUUUUCCCUAUAAGGAAUUAUAGAGUUGAACCCAGAUCUUGUACCCAUAAAUCUCAAAUGCUUAUGGAGACAUAAAGAAUAGGUAAAAAUGGAUUUUUAAUCACAUUAAGGAAUGCUGUUAUGAGGCAACUUCCUUUGAAACUCAAAAUACUAACAAAUUGAUAGGAAGAUUUUAAAACAUGGCUCCAUUUUAUUUGAUACUUGUUCCAUCUAAAGGUUGGACUUUUCCCCCUUUCUGAUUAACCUGGAUUCUGUGCUUGCUUUCAAUCUGGCCGUUUCUAGAUCAGGCCUUAAGAAACUGGCAGUUCCUACUUCCUGUCUCUUCAGACACUCUGGAAACCACCAUGCUGUGAGGAAGCCCAAGUAGUUCCUGGAGAGAUCUACACCAAUAACUGAAGCCCCAAGGCCCUAGCACUGGCUGAGCUCCCAGCUGAAAGCCAGCACCAAAUUUCCAUAACUUUGAGUGAACCAUCUUGGAAGUGUAUAUUCCAGUUCCAGGUUAAGUGUACUCAGAAAUAACCUGCCCCAUUGAUCCCUGUAAAAAUUGGAGAUCUGAAAGCAAAAUACAAUAUUGUUGACAUUUUAAGUCAGUAGGGUUUGGGGCAGUUUAUUGUAUCAGUGAACUUUGCCUAGGUUGGUUUUACCUAGAGGCCUUCUAUAGUACAUAAUAGAGUACCUUGGUCUGGUUAUAGGGAUUUUGUGCCUUCCUUUACAUUUUAAAGUGAAAGAAAAAUAUCUUUUCUGUGAACAUGAAUUUUUUAUUAUUAUUGUUAUACUUUUAAGUUCUAGGGUACAUGUGCACAAUGUGCAGGUUUGUUACAUUGGUAUACAUGUGCCAUGUUUGUUUGCUGCAUCCAUCAACUCGUCAUUUACAUUAGGUAUUUCUCCUAAUGCUAUCCCUCCCCCAGCUCCCCAGCCCCCAACAGGCCCGGGUGUGUGAUGUUCCCCUCCCUGUGUCCAUGUGUUGUCAUGAACAUCAAUAUUUUUAAUGAGGGCAUUAAGUUUACUCUAUUGUGUGGUUAUCCUGUAUUCUUGUAGCAUUGUCUCGUUUAGUCCGUAGAGAAAGAUCACAUCCCUGUAGUGUGUGAUCUACUAUAAAAUGAGUUGGGGUUUUUUGUGUCAAUAAAAUGAGUUGCAACAAAAUGAGUUGGGUUUUUUUGUGUCAAUAAGUGGGGACAGUGGGAAAAUUUCCUUAAGGAAAGCACAUGAGAUUUGGUGAUUUGGGGCAGA